UCGGCUGUUACCCGUCUAUUUUCAGCGGGCGGCGAAUCCGAGCCGUAUCAUGCGGGAUUCGAACGAGAGUAAUGGUGGUGAUGACGUGGCAUCUCCAUGAGCUUCACCUCCCGGCGCUCUCCUCCUCUGGGGUUAGCUGGCUCUAGGGUGUGGGUUUGGGGUGCGCGGUCGAGUGCUUGUUCCCUCGGAUUGGAGCGGAUUUGGGGCCGCCGGCGGCGGUGGACGGGGCGAUGCUGCGGUUUUGGUACCAGUACCAAUCCCACAAGGGCGGCGCGUUCGCUGCCCUUCUGGUAGUCCUUCUCCCGGUGUUCUGCCCUUCUCUUUUCUUCCCUCUCGGCCACGCCUCUCCUUCCAUCUUCUCGGAGUGGAAUGCCCCUAAACCUAGGCAGAUGUCUCUUCUGAUGGGUGCUUUACAACGCCAAAUAUCGGAUGAGCAGAAUUCUGAGCUCUGGCCCCCCUUGGCACACAAAAGAUGGGGACCAUGUAUUGAAACUGAAAACAACCCUGUAUUGAUACCUACUAAGUCAUCUGAUAUAUUCAAGUAUUCCUUGAUGGCGGGUUGAACCAACAGAGAAUGGGAUUUGUGACGCAGUUGCUGUUGCUAAAAUUUUAAAUGCAACCCUUGUGAUACCUCACCUUGAAGUGAAUCCUGUUUGGAAAGACUCAAGCUCCUUUGAAGAUAUUUAUGAUGUGGAUCACUUUAUUAAUGUGUUGAAAGAUGAGAUAUCAAUAGUUAGAGAAUUGCCUCAAGAAUUCUCAUGCAGCACAAGAGAGUAUUAUGCUUUGGUUAUUCGAGCUACUAGAGUUAAAACUGCAUCAGUUGAUGCUUCAGCGAAAUGGUAUAUUGAGAAUGUUGCUCCCCUUCUUCAGAGAAACUGUUCCGCAGAUAUUUCUGUUCAAGGCUUUUCUAGAUACUUUAGAACAGGGAAGCAAAACAAAGUCUGAUAGACAAAUCAAUGAUGAUACAUUGAAUCAGUUGGGCCAGAAUGCAUGCUUGGGACUUCAGCUGGCAGGCCACAACCCAUAUCAGUCGGAUGGUCUGAAUUUGAUUUGUGAAAAGAAGUUCAAACCUCGAGCUGAAGUUAAACUACAAGAAGCAAUCCUAGAUUUCCAAAUGAAUGGCUUUGAGCUGCCCAGGCCCAGAUAUGAUGCCAGUAUUCAGAUAUGGACUUCUACCUGUGGUCCGUGUGGUCUUCCUGUAUUUGCUAAGAACUCUUACCCCCAAGUAAGUUCUUGUGGAUUUACUUUAUAAUUUUGUUUAUGUCAAUCGUUUGCUAAGAUCAUUUGAUAUUGGUAAUAUGAACAACUAAAAUGGGGGAGCUAUGCAAGGUGACAACAGUAAGCAUAAGAAAUAAUAUGGCAUCACGAGUAACCAAAGCUUUUGAAUACUUGAAGUACAUGAAGUAGCAAGUACAACUGAAGUAAUUCGUACAAAGUAUAUGCUUUUCAACCUUUUUUUGAUGUUAAACUCAGCAAGCAUGGUUUUGCUGGUGACUGGCGUUGGCAAAAAUUACACUUCAGCUGCUGGCACAGAUGCAGUGCUUUAUUCCCUUUUCCUGCUGAAGCCAAUUUUAGUUGCAGUCACAGGGGCAUGACUAUGAAUUGCCAAGCACUUCUGCCAGACAUUCCUUGUCAUAUGAUCAUAUUGAUGUUUUUCAAUAUGACACCCCUUUUAAUGAUAAACUGGGAAAAUGGCAUAUGACUGAAUCAAUCAAUUUCAGAAUCUACAUGCUUAAGCCUUCAUUUAACAUUGGGCAUAUAUUUGCAAUCUCAGCAUGCAUGCAUACAUUGUUGAGUUCUUAAUACUGCAUUUUUCAUGUCUUCAAGUUACUUCCUUGGCUUAUUUUUUCUUGUAAGGGUGUUCCCCUAGUAUCUUAGGUCCCUGUUAAAUUAUCAUCAUAAGAAACAUGAAAUGCAAAACAAAGUUCCAAGCUGGAUGCAUAACAUCUAAUGUUCUGACGUAUUAGGGAAGAAACUGAAUAUAUUUAUGUGUUCCAUUUGCUUCAAUUAAUAUUUUUCAGUGAUCGUGUAGUAUAAAGUUACUGUGACUCUCCGACACAUAAUUUUGACAGGUACCAAGCUGCUUCCUAGGAAUGCAUGCAAAGGUGGAUUGCUAGGACUAUGGUUUCUGAAAAGCUCUUUAUCUGGAUGUGAAUGGCCUUGUCUUCCUGUUGCUGAUGAUUACUUAAUCUACAAAUUGGUCUCCAAUUUCAGUUUCUAUUGAGGUUCGUAUUACUUUCCUUGCAGCAACCAAUAGGACUUCAUGACUUGUAGCAUAGUUGCAUUGCGAACUUGGUACAAGCAGGUUUGACGGCAUUUACUGCUGCUGAUUGGCACAACUCUCCAGCUGUUGUCAAGAUUUUUCCCCUUCUCUCUUUUUUCAUACAAUCAUCGGAAAAAAGGGUACAUAUACUAAUGGUAAUUAUGUUCUCAUUGUUAUGCUUGUUCAGCAACCUGGCCAGCAUCAAAAAAAAAAAAAAUUACAUACUGCUUCUCGGAUCGUCUUAGUUAUCAUACCUCUUAUCUGGAAAGAUCCUUGUAAAUUAUAUUAUAAUUGUCUCCUCUUGGCCUGCUUACAUGGCCAGAAAGUUUUUGUUCUUGUAAAUUAUACACAAGCAGAAAAGCUUCAAAGCCUGUAAUACAUGUAAAAAGAGAUGCCCCGACAAACUGACCGGAGCUGUAAACUAAAUUCAGGUGUAACUGAAAUUUAUAUAUCCAAUUCUCUUUCAGUACUUUAAAUGUAAGGAUGCUUCCUGUGAAUCUUAAUGCUUUAAGAGGAUCGAUGGUCUCUCCUUGCAAUUCCACGCUCUGCAUGAUCAGUUUUUCCUCAUUUCUUGAUCAAUGAAUAUCCACUGCAAUCCUGUAUUUGCUUCUUAUUCUCUUAACUAUAGUUUGUCAUUUGAGAAGAACAUCGAAUAAAUUUAUCCUCAAUAAGCGCAACUAAAGGUGAAAAUAGAGAAGAAGAUGUAGAUGGCAUUACAAUAAUAUUCAAUAUCCCCUGUACAUGGCAGUUUUUUUUUUCUUUUGUUUUACAUAGUGGCCCUUCUGACUCAAAAAGGCCAUCUUA